CAAACACAAGGGAGGGCAGUAUCAAAUGUGGUGCAAUUUGGCCACAUGGUGGCGCUAUAAUGAUGAACUUUAUGUUUUGGCCUUUAACUUAUGAACCUUACCUCUUAGAAACGAAAUGAUUUCUUCCUGGAUUCUGUGGGUCCAGACGAAUCCAUCCAUAUAAGCCACACCCCUUUGCGUCUAGGCUGAUUUUCCACCAUUUUGAAUUUUGAGAUUCAGAUCAGAUUUUUUGCUACUCCUCUUACAAAUUUUGAGAAAUCAACACCUAAUUUGGUACAGAAUAUCUCUGGACCAAACCAGGAAAAAUAACUAUUUUGGAUUGUUGAUGUUUCAUACAGUUUUGCUAAAGCUGGUCCUCAAAGUUAGCUCAAGUGCUGUGGGCGGGGCUUAUAUUACACAAAAUGUCAUAUCUCCUGGAUGCUUUGUGCUAUUGCAACCACAUUUGGUGGACAUGUGUAGAUAUUAUGUCUGAGUGACCAUGAGAAAUUUGGUGCUAUCGGGCCAAUAGGUGGGGCUGUAGCAGCACCAUCUAACUGUAAAGGAGGUAUGCUUUGUCUAUAUGUAUGUAUGACUGUAUGACUGCCCUUCGCAUAUCUCGAGAACCAUUCAU